GAAUAUAUUCUGAACUGACAACGAUAGUGAAUCCGUACGGAAAAAUUACAUACGCAAUACCGGAAACUGAUCAGUGACGUAUAUCAACAUAACCGGUUCAUGAACUAGGACGACAAAGAACACAUUUUUCGUUGGUUUCAUCUUGAUCAACAAACAUUAUUGCUGGAUUUAUUGAACAUAUUAGUAUUAUAGUAUAUUUAAACCUUGCCAAAGAUGUAGUAUUCGAUAUCUUAUGGUUUAUAUGGAAAUGUGCCACUUGCACGAUAUGUGAGG